AUGCAACUACGUAGGUUUAAAACCUUACAAUUGGUAGAAUUAUACCGAAAUAAUAAUAAUAAUAAUUAUUAUUAUUACUACAUUUUAGAAAACACAGAUGGACAACAAGCUGAGGAGAUCCCUCACCAGAAUGAGACACAACUACAAACAAAUGAGCAGACAGAACACAUUGUUUUGGAAAAGGAAAGACUUAAUGAAAAUGAAGAUGAACAUCAAUCCAUACAAAAUACAAAUGAAUUGGAUUUAACAUCAAAAAGCAUGGACAAUGAUUUCAUGUCAGUGUCCACAUAUUCUGAAAAUGAAGACAAAAGGGAAUAUGAAAAGGAACAUGAACAUAACCAAAAUAAUGAAGAGUGGAGGGCCACAACACCAGGUCCAAAAAAUUUCUGUAUAGAAAUACAAUUCGAAAACUGGAAAAAAAUAAAGCCACUGCCUGGUUCAAACCAACUCCAGAGACCAUGGACAGAUGUUAUUUAUAAAGAAUUUAGUCAGGUCAAUCCUUGUUGUGUUUUGUGCUUUAAGUACCAACACGUAAAAUGCCAAAACAGUCGGAAGCGAGCCCUGCCUUUUUUCAAAGCACGUGCCACUUGCACCUUUAAAGACUGUUCAGCAGUCUAUACUUUCACAAUAAAAACCCCCCCAACAAAAUCAAAAAAGAAAAUAACUGUCUUUGUUGCUCGCAACGGAAACAUAACACACAAAAAGAAUCACCAACAAUUCAGACAAGCCAAAUAUAUAAGAAGGGGGAAAAUUGCAAAGGCCCUCACACAAGGUGUGAGUACUUACUAUUAUGAAGCCGUAAGAAAAUCCACACCAGAAGAGAUUGUUGCAGGCAACAUCUCACAGUCCUUGAGUAAAGAUGUGUUAAGGGUAAUUUCUAGUGAACUGAAAAAAAGCACCAGGCUACAUGAUGACAUAAUCCUGGAGCUUAUGCUUACACAAAAAAUAAUAAAGGAAUGUGGUACAUCUGAUUGUCCUGAGACUGCUGGCUACUUACAACAUUUGCAGGUGGACCCAUUUGCUGUACAUUUGUACACACAAUGUGGUUUACAAAUUUUGGCCCAGCAUCUUAAAAAAAACAAAACAGUAACACUUCACCUGGAUGCCACAGGUAGCGUAAUCUCCCGCAUUACCAGUCAGCCCAAAAGAGUGCUCUACUAUGCACUUGUACUGCCGGGAAUGGGAAAAAACAUGCCACCACUACCAGUUAGUGAGCUCGUAUCAAAUCAGCACUCAAUUCCAACCUUGACAUACUGGCUAAUGGAAACAUUAAGGGCUCUUGGUCAAAUAACAUCAUGCCAUAUCCAUCAAGUGGAGACUGACUUCAGCUGGGGACUAAUUUCAAGUGUCCUUCUGGCAUUCAACAAAGAGAGCAUUUUGCUGUAUUUACAACGAGCCCACCGCAUUGUUUUGAACAAAGCAAACAGUGGUGAUCUUCAAUUCACAGUCUUACAUCUUUGCUCCUCACAUAUUGUUAAGGCAGUGUGUCAGGCAUUUUCAAAAAAGACUGACAACAAGGCUUUAAAAGAGUAUGCCACCUACUGCUUUGCCUUGUUGUUAAACAGCACACAUCUAGAAGAGGCAACAGCUGUAUUUGAAGAUAUGUCGGUUCUUUUCACAUCAGAAGAGGAGACAGAUGUGGUGAAUGCAGCCAAAACUGCCCUGGAUCUAAAAAUAAUGAAGAGCACAAUAAACAUCAAUGAGGCACAAACGAUACCAGAGGCCACAGAAACAGAUGAAAAUGUAACUUCAGUGUGUGGCAGAUCACCAUUUACAUCACUGUUCACUGCAGUUUUGAACAGAGCCAAGAGCCUCCACUUCAGUUGCAAGACAGGGAAAAAAAACACCUUUUUCUGUCCAGAGCUCAUCGACUUCCUCAUGAACAACUACAUGAGCAUCUUCCCGCUGUGGAGUGGAGUUCUUCUUGGAGAUCUUAGCCGGUUUUCUGAAACCAGCACAACUACAGUCAGCAAACAAUCCAAAACUAGGGAAAGUAACUGUCAUGUGGAACAGUGGUUUUGGAUUGUUAAACAGAGCAUCCUUAAAAAGAAGAAGUACCUGCGUCCUGCUGACUUCAUUCAGAACAUGUAUGGAUCUCUCCAAGGCAGAUACAAAGAACACAUAAUUAACAACAAUCUUUUACUGCCUUACCGUGAUCCAGAACCUAAAGAAAAGUUCUUCAGCCAGAAAGAAGAAUGGGCACAGAAAACAUCGAGAAAGGACAAGAACAGACAUAAAACAAAAUACUUUGACCCACCUGAAGUACUGCCACAGCCAUCACCAAAUCCAGAAGUUACACAGAUCAGCACCAAUACCAGCCAGACGAUUCCAGACACAGCAAUGGACCUGUCAAAAACAAAACACGAACCAGAACCAAAGUACAAUACUGAGCCAGAUAAUACAGAACAAACUGCUGAAGACACAACAGAAGAGGUAGUACUUCAUAUUAAUAUACAUUUAUAA
ensembl:lncRNA